AGUCCAUCACCUUUACCUUCAGCUUCUUUAGCAAGACAGUGGUCGUCUUGGAGGUGUCUUUGGGGUCGUUAUCAUGUUGGAAUACUGCCCUGCAGCCCAGUCUCCGAAAGGAAGGGCUCAUGCUCUGCUUUAGUAUGUCACAGUACAUGUUGGCAUUCAUGGUUUCCUCAAUGCACUGUAGCUUCCCAGUGCCGGCAGCACUCAUGCAGGCCCAGACAAUGACACUCCCACCACCAUGCUUGUCUGUAGGCAAGACACACUUGUCUUUGUACUCCUCACCUGGUUGCCGCCACACACGCUUGACACUAUC